UGGGGAAUUUUGGACAAUGGGCGCAAGCCUGAUCCAGCCAUGCCGCGUGCGGGAAGAAGGCCUUCGGGUUGUAAACCGCUUUUGUCAGGGAAGAAAUCUUCUGAGUUAAUACCUCGGGAGGAUGACGGUACCUGAAGAAUAAGCACCGGCUAACUACGUGCCAGCAGCCGCGGUAAUACGUAGGGUGCAAGCGUUAAUCGGAAUUACUGGGCGUAAAGCGUGCGCAGGCGGUUUUGUAAGACAGAGGUGAAAUCCCCGGGCUCAACCUGGGAACUGCCUUUGUGACUGCAAGGCUUGAGUGCGGCAGAGGGGGAUGGAAUUCCGCGUGUAGCAGUGAAAUGCGUAGAUAUGCGGAGGAACACCGAUGGCGAAGGCAAUCCCCUGGGCCUGCACUGACGCUCAUGCACGAAAGCGUGGGGAGCAAACAGGAUUAGAUAGCCCCUGGUAGUCCACGCCCUAAACGAUGUCAACUGGUUGUUGGGAAGGUUCCUUCUCAGUAACGUAGCUAACGCGUGAAGUUGACCGCCUGGGGAGUACGGCCGCAACGGUU
rnacentral:rRNA from 1 species